rnacentral:rRNA from 1 species
UACGAAGGUCCCAAGCGUUAUCCGGAUUUAUUGGGUUUAAAGGGUGCGUAGGCGGGUUAUUAAGUCAGUGGUGAAAGCUCCAUGCCUAACAUGGAAAUUGCCAUUGAUACUGAUGAUCUUGAGUACAUUUGAAGUGGGCGGAAUGUGUCAUGUAGUGGUGAAAUACUUAGAUAUGACACAGAACACCGAUUGCGUAGGCAGCUCACUAAACUGUAACUGACGCUGAGGCACGAAAGUGUGGGGAUCAAACAGG